UUGGCCCCAAUCAAGACCUGUCGCUUGCAGUAGCUGCUGGUUUCAAAGGGCGCCCACAUGAACUCCUUCCAAUGGUCUGUUGGUUUCUCCGGAGUCUCAAAGGGGUGAAUCAAUUCAGUUGGAAGGCACAGAC
ensembl:snoRNA